GCCAGGUGUGUUCCCACUGCCCGGCUCUAGCCAGCGUCCGCCGCCGCCGUAGCUGCCCUGGGUUCCCCGCCCCACUGCCGAGAUGGCGACGCGCUCCUGCCGGGAAAAGGCUCAGAAGCUGAACGAGCAGCACCAGCUCAUCCUAUCCAAGCUUCUGAGGGAGGAGGACAACAAUUCUGCGCCGACUGCGAGGCCAAAGUGCAUGCAAGAUAUGGGAAAUACUAAAGCAAGACUACUCUAUGAAGCCAAUCUUCCAGAGAACUUUCGGAGACCACAGACAGAUCAAGCCGUGGAAUUUUUCAUCAGAGAUAAAUAUGAAAAGAAUACUACGAUAAAAAUGCCAUAGCUAUUACAAAUAAAGAAAAGGAAAAAAAAAAGGAAGAGAAAAAGAGAGAAAAGGAGCCAGAAAAGCCGACAAAACCACUUACAACUGAAAAGCUGCAGAAGAAAGAAGAACAGCAACUGGAGCCUAAAAAAAGUACCAGCCCUAAAAAAGCUGCAGAGCCCACUGUGGAUCUUUUAGGACUUGAUGGCCCUGCUGUGGCACCAGUGACCAAUGGGAACACAACAGUGCCACCCCUGAAUGACGAUCUGGACAUCUUCGGACGGAUGAUUUCUAAUCCCUUACCUGCAACUGUCAUGCCCCCAGCUUAGGGGACAUCCUCUGCACCAGCAGCUGCAACCCUGUCUACAGUAACAUCUGGGGAUCUAGAUUUAUUCACUGAGCAAACUACAAAAUCAGAAGAAGUGGCAAAGAAACAACUUUCCAAAGACUCCAUCUUAUCUUUGUAUGGCACAGGAACCAUUCAACAGCAAAGUAC